UGGGGAAUUUUGGACAAUGGGCGAAAGCCUGAUCCCAGCAAUGCCGCGUGUGUGAAGAAGGCCUUCGGGUUGUAAAGCACUUUUGUCCGGAAAGAAAUCCUUGGCUCUAAUACAGUCGGGGGAUGACGGUACCGGAAGAAUAAGCACCGGCUAACUACGUGCCAGCAGCCGCGGUAAUACGUAGGGUGCAAGCGUUAAUCGGAAUUACUGGGCGUAAAGCGUGCGCAGGCGGUUUGCUAAGACCGAUGUGAAAUCCCCGGGCUCAACCUGGGAACUGCAUUGGUGACUGGCAGGCUAGAGUAUGGCAGAGGGGGGUAGAAUUCCACGUGUAGCAGUGAAAUGCGUAGAGAUGUGGAGGAAUACCGAUGGCGAAGGCAGCCCCCUGGGCCAAUACUGACGCUCAUGCACGAAAGCGU
rnacentral:rRNA from 1 species